rnacentral:lncRNA from 1 species
AAGACAAGAGAAAUGAGUUUCCAACACUUCUUCACGAUGGUAAUGUCGUAUCAGAGUCUUUCAAAAUAGUUGAGUACCUUGAUGCAACAUGGAAGGCCGUGGAUUCCCCUUUCAUCUUGCCGGUCGAUCCUUACGACCGUACUAUUGUACGAUUUUGGGCUACAUAUAUUGAUGAUAAGGUAUGUAAUUAUGUAAGCAAACAGACAAAAAACAUCAAUGUUUUAGAUUUUAUAAUUAUUUAUUUAUUAUAAAUCAAUUCUACCCAGAAUUCCAUGAUUAUUUAUUUAUUGAUUGAUUGAUUUUGCUUGCAGAUUUUAUCGGCCAUGAAAUUGAUAAUAAAAGGAUCGACAAACAAGAUUGAAGAAGAAUUUCAUGAGGCAAUGCAGGUUUUGGAAAGUAUUUUCAAAAAUGAAAGUCAAGGUCAAAGCUUCUUUGCAAAGGGAAAUAUCGGAUAUAUUGACAUAUCUUUGGGGUCAAUAUUGGGUUGGAUGAAAGUUGUUGAGAAAUCAAAGAAUAUUAGGUUACUGGAUGAGAGGAAGACGCCUAUGUUGGUGAAUUGGGCUGAACAAUUCCAAGCUCACGAAGUUGUCAAGGGAAUGAUACCCGAACCAGACAAGUUGUCUAAGACAAUUGAUGAAAAAACAAUAGACGAUUCCAAACAACAAGAUGAAAUUGAUCGAGCAUUUAUCUAUGCUAGGCAAUUGACGUUCAAUCAUGCUCUCUCAAUGACCUUGAAAGUUGUCAUUGAACUGGGUGUGCUUGAUGUUAUUGCGAAUGCUGGUUUCGACAAAUUCCUCUCCCCAAAAGAGAUAGCAAGUGAAUUAUCGAUUGUCAACCCUGAUGCUCCCAUCAUGCUCAAUCGCAUGCUUAGACUACUUGCCAGCCACAAUAUCGUCAUCUGCAAAUCAAAAUCAUAUAGUAAUUGUGAUGAAAACACCAUAGUUGGUACUACGUUAUAUGGUAUUGGCCCUAUAUCUAAGUAUUUUGUCAAAAAUGAGGAUGGUGUUUCACUAGCUCCCAUGCUUGCCGCAAUCCAAGAUAAGGUUUACAUGAAAAGUUGGUAAGCUAUUUUUUUAUCAUCUUUAAUUCCAACUUUAAGAAAUCAAUCAUAACAUGUUAUAUUUAUAGGAAAACAUAAGAUAGUUUGAGACAUUUGAAACUAGGCCGUCCAUUUGAGAUAUGUAUCAUAUUAUACUUAUAUUUAAUCAUAUUAUACUUAUAUUUAAUCAUAUUAAAGAAACCAUUAGAUUUAAAAUUAACGACAUAAAUAUUGAAGAUAUCUCUUAUAAUAUCUCAAGAUUUUUUUUAUAGGUACUACUUGAAAGAAGCAGUGAUGACAGGUGGUAUUCCAUUCAACAUGGCGUACGGAAUGUCAGCUUUUGAGUAUCAUAGUAUAGAUGUGAGGUUCAAUAAUCUAUUUAAUAAAGCAUUUUUUAAUAUGACAAUCCUUAUGAAGAAAAUUCUUCAUUUAUAUAAUGGAUUUGAGAGUAUCAACAAAUUGGUUGAUGUUGGUGGGGGCACUGGAGCCAAUCUAAACAUCAUAAUCUCGCAACAUCCAACCAUAAAGGGUGUCAACUUCGACCUUCCUCAUGUCAUCAAAAAUGCCCCCUUAUUUAAAGGUAACAUAAUAUAUCCAGAAUCAGUAUAUAAUUGAAUGUUUUGCGGAAACUAAUUAUGUAUGAUUGUGUUCUGUUUUACAGGAGUGAAACAUGUUGGCGGAGACAUGUUUGAGAAGGUUCCUAGUGGUGAUGCCAUUUUUAUGAAGGUAUAUAUCUUAAACUGGCCUUUAAUUUUCCAUAUAUUGAUUCUAACCCAGAUAAGUACAUCACUGUUUUGUUUUAUGCAGUUUAUCCUACAUGAUUGGAGCGACGAUCAUUGUGUGAAGUUAUUGAAGAAUUGUUGGAAACAACUUCCAAAAAAUGGAAUGGUUAUCGUCUGUGAAUUUACUAUUCCCGUUGAACCACAAGAAGAUAAUUCAGCUUUCUAUAGUGAUAUGUCGAUGUUGACACUAAAUCCGGGAGGUAAGGAGAGGACUGAAAGUGAAUAUAGUUUACUGGCGAAGAAAGCAGGAUUUGUCGAUUUCAAAGUUGCAUGUGAUGUAUAUGGAAUGUACAUCAUGGAAUUCAGUAAGUAGUUGCACGCCCAAAUUUCUUCCUUAUGUGGAAAUACUAAAUAAAAUUAAAGCUUAUAUACACAACUUGAUUAGUCCAGUUGGUAACUAUCACUAUUAAGGUGGACGAACUGUUAAAGGUCCAGGGUUUGAGUCUCAAUGUAUGUAUUUUAAUUUAUAUUUACUUUUGUAUCAGUUUAUCAAAAAAUAAAAAUGUUUGCAAUAUAUAUAUAUAGAGAAAAAAUCAGGAACGACCCUGAUCGCACGGUGCCCUAAAACGGUACCUGCCCCCUCCGCCUUGCGAUUCCACAUCCACGGUCGUCUCCUCUCCAAGCCAACGUAUCUACCGAUGGCCAAUCUACCUCUAACAGAGUAAUGUGAGAUACUGUCAGUAACUGCGAUUUCGGUCCCGCAACAGAGUAACUGCGAUUUCGGUUCCGCGGAACCCAUCGCGAGUUCCGCGGAACUCGAUCGCGGUUCUGCGGAACUCGAUUUCGCAGAACCGGAACCGAAAUCGCGAUAGUGAGGGCCUCUGACACUGGCAGUGUGCCGGAAACGAAUCUUGCUGCGAAGAAGCCAAAGAUCUUAGUUGCCGGAGGCGGAAUCGAUUUGAGUACCAACUGCACAAACAUCGGUUGGUGUUCUUUUCCACCACUGGAAGCCUCAAUUGCUUUUUUCCCAACAAUCAUCUUGGUUUUGUGGUUGAAAUAACGCAGACCCCAAAGACCUUUAUUCAGAGCAGUUGAACUCGCACCCAAUUUUGAUGCAUACAUCUCUGCAAACUGAGCAAUGCCGAAUCCCCAACCAUCUAGCGCACAGACGAAGACCACAUUUCCUUUCUGUGGCUGGAACGUAUCUGCCUCAUUGUCUUCCUCCUCUACGAAUUCUUCUCCUACAGUGCUGGAUCCAGUGAUGAAGAGAUCCACAUCAGAGAGGUACUUGACAGAUUUAAACCCACUGAUAAUUCCAUUGACAUCGUGAAUAAUCCUUUGCAAUUUCGUAUAGGCUUCCAUCGGACUCAACUUUAACUCUGUGAUCAAUCGAUCGAUCUUGUUGAGGACGAGACAAGGAGUCAACUUCUCAAUCCAUGCCUGACGGAGAGCAGCAUGGGUUUGGAUAUGAACACCUUCGACGGAAACAACCAGAACCAAAGCCCCAUCACUUAAUCUGGCGGCAGUGGACACCUCGCUGCAGAAGUCGAUGUGUCCAGGGGAAUCAAUAAGGUUUAUGGAAUGUUCACCGUAUUUCAAUAAAAUAGAAGAGCUUUUCAUUGUGAUGGCUCGCCGUUGUUCCGCGGAACUCGAUCGCGGUUCCGCGGAACUCGAUCGCGGUUCCGCGGAACUCGAUCGCGGUUCCGCGGAAUCGGAAUCGGACCGCCGUGGAAUCGGAAUCGGAACGACGCGGAAUCGGAACGUCGUGGAAUCGGAAUCGGAACGACGCGAAAUCGGAAUCGGAACCGGAACCGUACGGAUCGAGGAGGGGAACGCACGGUGCGGACGGGCCGUGCCAGAUGUUUUUCCUAUAUAUAUAUACGUGUCUAUAUUUAUAUUUGUUUAAGAUGAAUGUCUAUAUACAAUUUCCAUUCUCAUAUAUACGUGUAUUAGGUCGUGGUAGGGGUGAGAAUGGUCCCGGGUCACCCCUUAGACCCGUCUCGUACGUUCCGUGUCUUGGUGGGAACAGGAUCGAGGUAGGAUUUUGCCCCGAAUUUUUUUUCCCGCCUUGUUGCUCCGGUCAUUUUAUGGAGCAGGUGUUAGGGCAGGGAAAACUAUAAUUUUCCUUUUAUUUUUAGCCUCGAUCAUAUUUUCGAGGGCGGGUCUCAGAGCUUGUAAAUGGUACAUCAAAAUUUGAAUUCGAGUUUGAAUUUUUUUAAAACUAUUUGAAUUUGGUUAUUCAAAUUUCAAAUGCGAAUUCAGUUUUCAAUUUUUGAAUCCGUGAAAUAUUUGGUCGAAUAUACGAAUUCAAUUCAACAAUUUGAGGUAUUAGACAUCUCAACUAAUGAUCAUAUAAUACAAAACACACCAAAAAAAGAGAAACAGUCCUCAAUCAACAAUGACCCAAUAACAUCAUUGGUGACUAAGAUAAGUAUCUCAGACAAACAAAAACAUUAUGAAAAAUCUACUAGUCCAAAAUAGCAAACAAAAACACUCUUCUGGACUAAUUAGAGAAUGAGAAGAACAUAUCCAAAUCUGAAUUGGGAGAGAAAAUUAAAAGCACAAAGAUGUCAAAAACAUUAAAAUCAAAAAGGUGAGAAGACCCUUCAAAAAGACCAACUAAAUAUGAUGAUAUCUAUUGUCCUAGUUUCAAAGAAACCAGAAAAUGAAAGUAUAUCAAAUCACAGGUUUAAUGAAAAACAUAAAGAUUUUGUGAAAACAAUCACAAAAGAAACAAAAUCAAAACAUUACCAUCAUGCCAAGUGUUACCCAAAAUGGCGUCAGACUAUGAAUGAGGAAAUGUUGGCUCUUAAAAAGAACAACAUAUGUUCCAUAUAUAGUACCGUUACCAUCUAACAAAAAGCCCAUAGGCUCAAGAUGGAUAAAAUAAAAUACAAAUCUGAUGAGACCAUUGAGAGAUACAAAGCUCGACUACUAACCAACUCAAUACCCAAACUAGUAUCAUUCAAAACACUAUUAACCAUAGUGGAAGACUUAAAUGAAGCUCCAUCAAAUGGAUGUAUACAAUGCAUUCUUGCGCACAUGAAGACCCAAAUGAGGAAAUAUAUAUGAUUAUAGCCCAAAUGCAUGUUCUGGAUUUUUAUGGCCAAAAGAUUUUUCAUUUUUCACAACACACCAUAAGACCAAAAACUGAUUCUUUCAACAUGCAAGGAGUAGCUCUUAAAUGAUUUUUAUGGAUGGAGUCCAGCAACUAUCUGACUACAUGGCUUGCAUUUGUCAAGUCUAUAUUAAAGAAAUUUAAUCCAACUACAUGCACCACUCCAGGUGGAAAACUCAGUAAAUUUGUUUCAAACAUCAACAGUUGCUGAUUUCAUGGAGAAAUUUGAAGAUUACUCAUCAAAAGUAAUAGGAAUCCCUGAUUAGCUAUUAUUAAAAUGUUCCUAUCAUGCCCAAAGGAUGAUAUUCAAAAAGAUGUAGUGACACAGCAAAACUUGAAGAUUUACCAGAGGCUAUGAUCAAGGUGGCUAUUCAUCUUGAAAAACAGGGAACAAGAAGCACUUCAACCUUCAAACAAGGAGGAUACAAAUCCAUCCAUGAAAGGCAAUAUAUACUACACCAAGAAUAAUAUUAAGUGAGUAUAUAACUCUAAUAUGGCCAGCAACACAAUCACCAACACUCCCAAAACAGAAAAUCUAAACCCAAAUUUCAAGAGCCUCACAUUUGCUGAGAGAAAAAAAAGAACUUCCAAAGGGUUAUGCUUUAAUUAUGAUGAAAAAUUCUCACCGAGACACAAAUGUAGAGGAAAAUUAUUCAGAUUUUCAGAUAAAAACAACACCUUCUGAGAACUAGCAGAUACAGAUGAAGGAGAAGAAGAAGCUGGAAUUAAAAUUCUGAAGAUCGAGGAAGAGUCUGAAAUCAGCCUUCAAGCAUUACAGGGAAGAAUUGGCAUAAUAAACAUCAGACUGGAAGGCUUCAUCAAAAGCUUUAAGACAGACCUUUCAAUCAAAAUGGAACAUACACAAGAAUGGUGGUAGGAUAUUGGAAUAUUAAAAUACAAAUCACUUCUUACUUUCUUUGUAGAUCUUAGAAGAUUAGAAGUACAAGUGUUGAACCGUAGAUCUCGAUCUUUUUGAAAGCUUUUUGGUGCUAGACCACAACUUGAGGGAUGAAUGAUUGAACUCAAAGAUUGAAGAUUUGAAGAGAGUUUGGAAGCUCAAAAACGUUGUAGUGUGUUGGCUUCAAAUGAUGAAAGUUUCCCUCUAUUUAUAGAAAAAUAAAUUCUUCAAAUGAUGUAGUGUGUCACUUGAUUGAAGUUUGGUUUGAGCAGUCUUGACUUUUAGAUUUUUGAACAACGGUUUUAUGUUUUCUCGCUACAGUCCAAAAACAAUUGACUUUUGAGAUUUCUUUUUUUAAUUGCCUAGGAAAUUGAUUCCUUUUGAAUAAGAGAAUGUCGGUUGACCGCAUAUUGGAUUUUGACUUUUGGCGAAUCGAAUACCUAAGUUUUUGGUUCGGUUCGUAUAAAUAAACAAGCCUACUCUUAGAUUUGAGUUCGUUUCCGAACCUAAUUCGAACUGAAUUCGAACUGAAUCCGAAACGAACCGAAUAGUUCGUCGAAUACCGAACUUUUGUUGCAAUUAUGGUAAAUUAAAUACAAUAUCAAUUUCUGCAUCUUGUAGAGAGAGAUUCCCCCUCUUUUCUCUAUAACAUAUUAUUCACUAUUAAUGAUCCAAUAAUAGUACUAUAUAAUCCAAGCUAUCUUAAUCAUAAUGAUCAAAAAAUCCCAGAGGCCCACUCCUUUUUUUUUCCACCUACUCUACUAAGGGUGAGAAUAGAUCCCGAUCCGUCCCGUUUCACGUCCCGAUCGUCAAGACAGAAAAGUAGGGUACCUGACCGGUCCGUUUUGGAAAAACGGGACGGGACCACCCCACCCCACCCGCGAUUCGUCCCAUUCUCAUCUCUACCUACUACGUACUCAAUAAUUGGAUCAAUGCUUCUUCAAUCUCGAUAAAAUAUAUUAUUUAUGAUUCAAAUGAUAGAGAUAUUUUAAAAACUUUACAAAAUUUAGAUUUUUUAUUCAAUUUGUGUAAGUUAAAAUUCAAGUUCGAACCCAAGCUUGUCGAUUUUGCUAAUGAAACGAGUGGUUGAGGAAUUGUCCAGGAAGAUAAAACCUUAUGGUUUUACUAGUUUUUCAUUUCUUCUUUCCUCUUCAAUUAUUCAGACCACUUGGACAUAUUCCGAGCCACAUACAAAUUCAGAAAUUUGUACCUAAUUCAACUAUAAAUAGAUGAAGAUUGUAGUGUUCUUCACCAUCAAUUGCGAAAACUUAAAUUCUAUGGAGAAAGAAGAAGCAAGGCUUGUGGGUUUUUCGGCAAGUCCAUUUGUGUUAAGAACAAUAAUAGCCUUGAAGAUCAAAGGAAUUCCAUAUGAGUUUGUUGACGGAGAUAAGAGAAACGAGUUUCCAACACUUCUUCACGCUGGUAAUGUCGUAUCAAAGUCUUUCAAAAUAGUUGAGUACCUUGAUGCAACAUGGAAGGCCGAGGAUCGCCCUCUCAUCUUGCCGGUCGAUCCUUACGACCGUACUAUUGUGCGAUUUUGGGCUACAUAUAUUGAUGACAAGGUAUAUAAUUAUGUAAGCAUUUAUAUUUUAGUUAGAUAUGCAAACAUGUUUGUAAGUCUUUUUUACCCAUCUAGUUAAUUAAGGUAGAUAAAAACCCGAACCAAGACUUUUAGUUUCGAUUUGGUUCAACGAUCUUAUAAUUAAAUUUUUAGACCCAAAAUCUUAUAAUUAAAUCAUAAUUAAAUUAAGUUUAAAAAGUAAUAAUCUAUUAAAUGUUAUUAAUUUAAAUCAGUGACAUGAUUUUUUACCGGUUAAAAGAUAAGAAAGACCGACCGAGGUUUUUCACCCCAACUCAUAUCUUAAAAGUACAUCCUCUAAAGAUACGUAUGAUCAAUAUGGGAUAGGUAGAGUAGAAAAUAUAAAAUGAAAAUAAUGUAGGUAAACUAGCUUUAGGACUGGGGGCAAAUGCACAUCACCAAAAUUUAAGGUUUAGAGGGGAGUAGUAUAUAUGUUCAAUCUACCUUCUUUUUGAAAAUCAAUAAAUUUACAACUGAUUUCAAAUUAAAAAAAAUACUAAUUUCAAUUAGUGGGAUCCACCUGCGGAAUUGGUCCUAGCUAGAUUAACAAUUUAAUGGUUAUGGGCUUGGUCUGUUUUAGAAACAAACUAGUUCUAAUUAAAACCAGCAAACCAUGCCCAUUAUGCAAAUUCACCUAUAUCUAUUAUAAAUCAAUUCUACCCAGAAUUCCAUGAUUAUUUAUUUAUUUACUUAUUUUUCUUGCAGAUUUUAUCGGCCAUGAAAUUGAUAAUAAAAGGAUCGACAAAGAAGAUUGAAGAAGAAUUUCAUGAGGCAAUGCAGGUUUUGGAAAGUGUUUUCAAAAAUGAAAGUCAAG